GAUCUCCUAGCUCAGCGGUAGAGCGUCGGAUUCCAGUGUACGUCCGAUUUUGAAGCUUGAAUCCCGAAGGCCAUCCGUUCAAUCCGGGUGGAGAUCA